UACAGAGGGUGCAAGCGUUGUUCGGAAUUACUGGGCGUAAAGGGCGUGUAGGCGCCUUGCAAGUCAGAUGUGAAAUCCCGGGGCUUAACUCCGGAAGUGCAUUUGAAACUGCAAGGCUAGAGUGCUGUAGAGGAUGGCGGAAUACCCAGUGGAGAGGUGAAAUUCGUAGAUAUUGGGUAGAACACCGGUGGCGAAGGCGGCCAUCUGGGCAGCAACUGACGCUGAGGCGCGAGAGCGUGGGGAGCAAACAGG
rnacentral:rRNA from 1 species